rnacentral:pre_miRNA from 1 species
ACAUACUUCUUUAUAUGCCCAUAUGAACAAGACCAGCUAUGGAAUGUAAAGAAGUAUGUAU